UACGUAGGGUGCGAGCGUUGUCCGGAAUUAUUGGGCGUAAAGAGCUCGUAGGCGGUGCGUCACGUCGGCCGUGAAAACCUGCAGCUUAACUGUGGGCGUGCGGUCGAUACGGGCAUCACUGGAGUUCGGCAGGGGAGACUGGAAUUCCUGGUGUAGCGGUGAAAUGCGCAGAUAUCAGGAGGAACACCGAUGGCGAAGGCAGGUCUCUGGGCCACUACUGACGCUGAGAAGCGAAAGCAUGGGGAGCGAACAGG
rnacentral:rRNA from 1 species